GCCUCGCUUGCGGCGUUAGCUUUCAGUGGUGCCAGCCCUGAAGCCCGAGGUCGACCUCAUGUACGGGAAGAUUACAGAAGAUGGAUUACCAGGAAGACCACACCCGGAUCCCAGUCCCAGACAUCAGGGGUCAUACUGACAUCCUUUGCCUUCACUUCCAAAACGGGUUAAAGCUCUUUCUUGCUUUCAAAUACGCUAUGAAGCAACAUUUGAGGACAGCAGGUGCCGGCAGGAGCUGACGCUGAAAUCUUCUCUUCAUGGCUUAAUGUGGAAUUGCAGAUCUCACCUGCCCCAGGACUCUCUGGG